rnacentral:rRNA from 1 species
UACGUAGGGUGCGAGCGUUAAUCGGAAUUACUGGGCGUAAAGCGUGCGUAGGCGGUUCGUUAAGUUCGUUGUGAAAGCCCCGGGCUCAACCUGGGAACUGCAAUGGAAACUGGCGGGCUUGAGUGUGGCAGAGGGGGGUGGAAUUCCGCGUGUAGCAGUGAAAUGCGUAGAGAUGCGGAGGAACACCGGUGGCGAAGGCGGGUCUCUGGGCCGAUAUUGACGCUGAGGAGCGAAAGCGUGGGGAGCAAACAGG